rnacentral:lncRNA from 1 species
ACUCCCGAUCUUUUGGCAUCUAAACAACCCUAGUACACGCUCUAAACCCUAAUUUAUAAGCACCUGAGCAGUAUUUCUUAAUAUCUCAAGAAUCCAAUUCUCAAAUAUCAUCAAACUUAUGUAUAAAGUUUACUUACAUGAAUAUACACUUUUUCUUAAAUUUUGAGCUAAAACCUUGUCAAAUUACUCAAGACAUAGCUCAAGCCACAACCACUAGUAAAUCGGGUCACUUACUACCCUUAGAUUGCAUGCACUGACUUCAAAAUCCAAUAACUCCUUUACUUCAACUUGGAAUCCAGCAAGAAAUACACAAAAAGUCUAGCUGCAAAACUGCUCUCUCCGAUCGCAAUCGCUGAUCUUCAAUUUCCUUCCGUACGCAUGUGUUAUGCCAAAAAGAGUGACAGUAGCUCCCAAAUCAACACCUUAACUUUGAGUGCCUAUAUCUCUUUCAUAUAAAUUCCAAAUCAUACAAGAUUUGUACCAAAACCAUAGCCAAAAACCUAAACUUACUAUGUCUAGCCUUC